rnacentral:sRNA from 1 species
GUUUGUUUGUAUUGUAUUUUCAACUUUUUAAAAAAAAA